rnacentral:lncRNA from 1 species
AGCAGUUGCAGAGUCAGUCAGCGUCUGCCAGGAGGUGAGUAGAACUAAACUUAAUCUUUUAUGCACGAAAUCUAACGCCUAAAGCAUGAGCAUGCAUCAUGAUUAUGUAUAGUAGGUUGAUUGCACUAGUUCACGAAUAUGUUGCAUUGCAUUAUUUCAUGUUGAUGCUGAGGUAGGGUGGACCGAGGCGACUUCAAUAGCCCAUAUCUGUCACGAGUCUUGUCUUAGUCCUUUGAGAGCCGGACAAGUACAUGUAGGAAAGUCCAUGUGAGCUCUCUGUGGACCAGACACCAUGUCAUGUAUGUUACAGGCCUUUGUGAGCUCCUAUGGGGGAGCCGGGCACCGACAGAGGGAUUUUUGAUGUCAUGUCCAUCCUCUGAGAGGAAAGAUGCAUGCAAAAAGACAGACUCUCAGAAACCAGGGUCCGUGGGGAAUAAAUCUUGCAUAAGCCCCGAGACGGACAAGAUUAUGUGAUUUCUCUGUGUUAUGACGCAUUUCAUGAAAGCAUGAAUAAGAAAAAGAAAGAAGAAGUUAAAUGAAUAAUAAUAUACCUAAAAAUGGAGGAAUUAAAGCAAAUGUUUUU